GGCUGUGCUGGCCCUGACUGAGAGGAGGGGGUUUCCACUUCCGUCACCUGGCAAGGGAACCUCCACAGCCCAAGAAUAUUAACAUUUAUCAGGUGCCGGGCAUGGGCCUCAUGUGUUUUAUGUAAUUCAAUCCUCCCAACAAAAGUAUGAGAAAGACCACACUCAGGCCAAGCACUGUGGUUCCCGCCUGAAAUCCCAGCGCUUUGGGAGGUGGAGGCAAGAGGAUUGCUUGAGCUCAGAAGUUCAAGACCACCCUGGGCAACACAAGCCAGCCCUGCAGCACAGCCUUCAACAUGAGCAACUCCUGCUCUCUGUAGCUCCAGCCCCAGCCUGGACCUAUCUUUCAGAGCCAUAAUGCUGAGACAGUCCCUGAGUCUUGGAUGAACACGUGAGGAGAAGAUGCUGUUCUGAGAGCUGCUGAUAAUACGUGGAUCCAAACCCACAGGCUUGAGCUGCUUAAUUGAAAUUCACGUCAAAAUGAAAUUCUGGUUUAGCUCAACUUGACUACUAUGGAUGAUGAAAAUAAAUCCCUGGGUCACACAAGGAUAGUGAUUGAGUAGAGCUUGUUUGCUGGCACAGGAAUGACAUUUCAACUGGAAUUAAAUUGUCGUCAGUUAACAGAACUGAAUUUUCAGUCAUUCUUUGACUUGAAUUUUCUUUUUUCCCAAGAUAACAUGGACAGGACCCAG
rnacentral:lncRNA from 1 species